GUCCGCCCCGCCCCGGCCCGCCCCCGCCCGCCUCCUCGCCCGGCCCGGCCCGGCCCCGGCCCCGGCCCCGGCCCCGGCGGGGAGCGCGCCGCAGGAGGGGGGACGCCGCAGGGCUCCGGGCGGCAGCCCCCGCCGGUAACGGGUGCUGAAGCUCCUGUCAGUACUUCAAUUUUUCACGUAUUGUCUGUAUUCCUGUGACGUGCGAUUUAGUGGCGAUGCUUCGUCAACCACAAUGUCAUACGCAAAGGCAUCAUCCUCCAAACUGGUGCCCGCACGUAAAGCCUUGAGUGGUUUGGGUGCAGAAGAUUUUACAGCCUUGAUCUAUUACUGCGGCAGACCUCCGUGAGAAGCUUGUAAGAGUGAGCCAGGGUGUCCUACCAAAAUGCCGACAGACCCAACCUCAGUACGUGACGCUUGUUCACUGAUGGCUUGGUAAAAAUGGUUUCUGAACCAAAGCCCGUGAUGGCAAGCUUCCUUCUGUGCUCAAGCUCUGCAGAUCUGUGACAUGCAGAUGGAUCCGAAUUUCACGACUGGCAGCUCUAGGGUAAACUUCACUGUGAACAACCUCUUAGAGAUCAACUGCUACAGGCACAAAAGAGGAGGUGGUUUUAGACUGGGAUUUUAGGUUUUUUACCCGAUCUGCUUGACCUUUUGUACACAGCUUUCUUGCCUAACUAAAAUACAUUAGACAAGAUGUCUCCCUUCUCAUUAAAAAGAGUAAUGGGUAUUUCUAA